rnacentral:rRNA from 1 species
AUUGAACGCUGGCGGCAGGCCUAACACAUGCAAGUCGAGCGAGCGGCGGACGGGUGAGUAAUGUAUGGGGACUGCCCGAUAGAGGGGGAUAACUACUGGAAACGGUGGCGAAUACCGCAUACUAUCGGAUAACCCAUAUGGGAUUAGCUAGUAGGUGGGGUAAAGGCUCACCUAGGCGACGAUCUCUAGCUGGUCUGAUAGGAUGAUCAGCCCCACUGUGACAUAGACACGGCCCAGCCUCCUACGGCGGCCGCAGUGGGGAAUAUUGCGCAAUGGGCGCAAGCUCGAUGCCGCCAUGCCGCGUGUAUGCGGAGGGCCUUAGGGUUGUAAAGUUCUUUCAGCGGGGAGGCGUUACCCGCAGAAGAAGCACCGGCUAACUCCGUGCCAGCAGCCGCGGUAAUUC